CCUACGGGUGGCAGCAGUGGGGAAUAUUGCGCAAUGGGCGAAAGCCUGACGCAGCGACGCCGCGUGAGGGAUGAAGGUCUUCGGAUCGUAAACCUCUGUCAGCAGGGAAGAACGGUCACUGUGCUAAUCAGCAGUGAAUUGACGGUACCUGCAAAGGAAGCACCGGCUAACUCCGUGCCAGCAGCCGCGGUAAUACGGAGGGUGCGAGCGUUAAUCGGAAUUACUGGGCGUAAAGCGCUCGUAGGCGGUAUGUCAAGUCAAGGGGGAAAUCCCCGCGCGCAACGUGGGAACUGCCUUUGAAACUGGCAAACUGGAGUGUGUGAGAGGAGAGUGGAAUUCCAGGGGUAGGAGUGAAAUCCGUAGAUAUCUGGAGGAACAUCAGUGGCGAAGGCGACUAUCUGGCACAUAACUGACGCUGAGGAGCGAAAGCGUGGGUAGCAAACAGGAUUAGAUACCCCGGUAGUC
rnacentral:rRNA from 1 species